rnacentral:rRNA from 1 species
CCUGUUUAACAAAAACAUGUCUUUUUGAGUUAUUUUAAAAGUCUGACCUGCCCACUGAAAUUAUUUAAAUGGCCGCAGUAUUCUAACUGUGCAAAGGUAGCAUAAUCAUUAGUCUUUUAAUUGAAGGCUGGUAUGAACGGUUGGACGAGGUAUAAGCUGUUUCAUAUAAAUUUAUAAUAGAACUUUAUAUUUUAGUCAAAAAGCUAAAAUUUAAUUAAAAGACGAGAAGACCCUAUAAAUCUUUAUAUUUUAAGUUGUUUAAAUUUUUUAGAUUAAUUUUAUUUUUAUAAUUUAGAGUAUUUUGUUGGGGUGAUAUUAAAAUUUAAUGAACUUUUAGUUGUUAAAAAUCAUUAAUUUAUGAGUUAUUGAUCCAUUAAUAGUGAUUAUAAGAUUAAGUUACUUUAGGGAUAACAGCGUAAUUUUUUUGGAGAGUUCAUAUCGAUAAAAAAGUUUGCGACCUCGAUGUUGGAUUAAGGUAUAUUUUUAGGUGUAGCCGCUUAAAU